rnacentral:lncRNA from 1 species
AUUACUGAGCUGAGCUGGAAUCACUAUACCAUUACUGAGCUGAGCUGGAAUCACUAUACUAUUACUGAGCUGAGCUGGAAUCAUUAUACCAUUACUGAGCUGAGCUAGAAUCGACUGCUCGAAGCUGCUCACAUGCACUUCAGGCCAGCCUUUCUCAAGGCUGCUUCUGGAGAAGUCGCGGUGCUCCGGGCUUUCCGCCGCCACGGCACCACCCCUUUUAGGGAUGUGCUGCAGCAAUUAUGAGAAGUGAGAGGGAGUCGUGCCCUUGCUAUUAUUCUAGCAACUCUGUUAGGGGAAAAUCUGUGGAUUUAUUUCAGCCACAUUUUGUCUCUUCCAGCAAACAUUCUGGUAGUUUCCAAUACACCAAAAUGAGCAUAAGGGGAUUUUUUCUUCAGUGUUGUUACUUUUGAAUGACCUUGUGGAACAAUGACCAGAUGAUGAAGUGACCAUAUAAAAUACUCUUUUAUGAAAACACCAUGUCAUACACUGCUGGGACAAAUUGUCCAGAGCAGGAUGCUGGGAACAACUUUGAUGCUUUAGAGGAACCUAUAAAACAAAACUCUGGAGUUAUGCCAGGAGAGAGAGUAUGGAAUGGGGAAGGAUUGGAAGAAGAAUUGUUUCUUCUGCCAUGGGAAAAAAAUCAGCAUCUUGGCCUGCUUCACAAGAGUGUAACAGCCCCUUCCUGACUUGUGUGGUGAGGAAACCUGGGUCACAAAAGCUGUGCCCUUCUAUUUAUCAGGGCAGCAGCAAAGCAGCCCAGGGCUUCUGCCUGCCCUUGGGAAGGUGGUGGUGUACAGCAGCAGCAGCAGCCUGGAAGUUCCCUGGGAGCAGAGCAAGGAUGUGCAGCAGGGGAGGAGAGGAGCAGCCUGCAGCAUGGACUGGUGACAUUUUGCUGCAGUGUUGA